UAUUAAAAAUUUCAUCUAUUUGUACUGUUAUAAACUGUCAUGAUUGACAGAAUAUCCAGACAGUGAAAUGUGGCAUGCCACGUAAAUAUCAUACUGAUGUAUCAGACCAAUUUUUAACAAUAGAAAUGAAUAAAUUUUUUAACA
rfam:Gossypium arboreum cultivar AKA8401 contig_5696_7, whole genome shotgun sequence.